CCAGCCUGGGGACAGAGCGAGACUCCGUCUCAAAAAAAAAAAAAAAAAAAGUAACACAAAAACAGCCUAAUGCAAAGGUCACAUGGUAGGUAGGAUUUAGUAAGAAAGAGAGCUGGGAUUUCAAGGCAGGUGAACUGGGUCUAAUGUUUCCACUGUUUACUCACCUCUCCCUACCUCUAGAUUUCUACCCUCCCAUGUUGAAAUCUCUUGGUUAUAAAUUUUCACUUGUGUUCCUUUCUGGGAUCACCUUCUUGAAUCACAGUGGUGUCUAUUUUCAUACCCAUUGAGGGAAUAGUGAUUCGUUGAGGGUUACAAGGUCUGCAGAUCGAUGAGUUCUUGGCAUUUUGGAGAGGCCAGAGACUGGUAGCUCUGAGUCACUGGUUGUCAGGCCGUGCCUCCCCCAUCACACAAUCGAAGCUUGGCUGACUUCACUGAGUGCCAAAAGCAGGCUGGGGCUGGGGGUAGAGGAUCUGGGUUUCACAAGAGGCAAGUCUGGAAAUGUCAAAAUUGGGGUCCAAGGUGAGAGGAUGGCAUGGUAGGACAACAUUGUCUGCCAUCCGGGUAUAAUGGCUGAAGCUCUGGUUAGUGGGUGUGGCCUAAGGGGAAUGUAGUGAUUCCCACUCUAGGUGUAAAGGGCUUCAUAUUGAUGGAGAGCUUUCUGUGUUGACCGAAAUUCUGGUGACACUACGAGACAGAUUUCAUGGAUUUAUAGAAGAGACAACUGAAACUUGGGAGUCUGUGUCCCAGAUCACAUAAUUUGUUAGCAGUAGGAGUCCAAGUUGAGCCAAGCCAGAGAAGGUUACUGAGUGUUUUGGCACCCUUGGCCUUAAUCUGCUACUCUUCAGAUUUCAUAGCCCUCAUGUUCCGGAUAGUUCACUCAAAGCUUGGGAGUUGGAGAUGAGGCAAUCAACAGAUGCUGACACCAGCAUAAAGGAGAGAUUGCGGCUGAUCUGGAGCUUGCAAGCUUUGAUCCACAAGCUGCCAUUUUGGAGAGGCCCAUGUGGCAGAGAACUGGAGGAGGUCUCAGACCAACAGACAGGCCCUCAGUCCAGCAGCCCACAAAAAAAACCUGAAUGCUGCCAAUUACGUGAGUUUGCUUGGAAGCAGAGCCUUCCCCAGGCAAGCCUUCAGAUGACCACACCCCCCAGGUGACAUCUUGAUGUUAGCCUUGUGAGAAACCCUGAAGAGGAGUCAGCUAGCUGCACCAAAGUUUCUGACCUAUAGAGACUGUGAGAUAAUAACUAUUGUUUUAAGCCACUAGGUUUUAAGUAAUUUGUUACACAGCAAUAGGUAACUAAUACAGAUGGUUUCUGCAAUAGCAGUAAUACAGUGCUGCCUAAGAUUCUGGGAGCUGCGGCUUUCCCACAUUUGUUGCCCAUAACUCUGUCGUGAAUUCUCUGGUGAUUUUUCUUUAAAGGGGGUGUCUACAGCUGAAGGCUUUCCCAUUUUCACUUCACUUGUAAUGCCUUUUCCCCACAGGUACUUUAUAUUGCUUUCUCACACAGGAGAGGUGACCAAAGACCAUCCCACAUUCCUUACAUGCGGGGGUUUUCUCUAUUGUGAAUUUUUUGGUUAUAGAUAAGGAUUGAUUUCUUCUUGAGGGUCUUUUUUCAUACCAAGUGUUUAAAGAUUUCUCUUCAGUGUGGGUUCUUAGGUGGUUGAAGAGGGCAAAAGUCUUCAUGUCUUCCCAUAGCCACUGCUCUUGAAGGGCUUCUCCCUAUCAUGGCCUGCCUGGUGUUAUCUGAUGUUGGAGCUGUGUGGCAGGAUCUUCCCACUCAACUUUUCAUGGCUUCCCUGUGCCAUGAGUGCUCUGGUGAUGGAGAAAGGAAGGCAUUUCCAUAUUCUCUUUUGAGCUUCUCACUAUUCGGGUACUCCAGUGCCAGAAGUGGGUAGUUACCCUGGAAAGCCUUCACAAAUGCCUGGUCCUUGAGUCCUCUCACUUAUGAAUCCUGCUGUGCAUGAACUGAAAAGUGCUCUUUACAAAUGAGACUGUGAGCCAUGUCACAUCUGAAAAGGUGGUCUCCACCAUAAAUGGUCUGUUGUUGGUGAAAAGUUUGAUCCA